GGCUAACUCCGUGCCAGCAGCCGCGGUAAUACGGAGGAUGCGAGCGUUAUCCGGAUUUAUUGGGUUUAAAGGGUGCGUAGGCGGCCUGUUAAGUCAGCGGUGAAAUCUAGGAGCUUAACUCCUAAAUUGCCAUUGAUACUGGCGGGCUUGAGUGUAGAUGAGGUAGGCGGAAUGCGUGGUGUAGCGGUGGAAUGCAUAGAUAUCACGCAGAACUCCGAUUGCGAAGGCAGCUUACUAAGGUACAACUGACGCUGAAGCACGAAAGCGUGGGUAUCAAACAGGAUUAGAUACCCUGGUAGUCCACGCAGUAAACGAUGAUAACUGGGCGUAUGCGAUAUACAGUAUGCUCCUAAGCGAAAGCGUUAAGUUAUCCACCUGGGGAGUACGCCGGCAACGGUGAAACUCAAAGGAAUUGACGGGGGCCCGCACAAGCGGAGGAACAUGUGGUUUAAUUCGAUGAUACGCGAGGAACCUUACCCGGGAUUGAAAUGUAGAUGACCGCUCCUGAAAGGGAGUUUUCCUUCGGGACAUCUAUGUAGGUGCUGCAUGGUUGUCGUCAGCUCGUGCCGUGAGGUGUCGGCUUAAGUGCCAUAACGAGCGCAACCCCUGUCUACGGUUGCCAUCAGGUAAUGCUGGGAACUCCGUAGAGACUGCCGUCGUAAGGCGUGAGGAAGGUGGGGAUGACGUCAAAUCAGCACGGCCCUUACAUCCGGGGCGACACACGUGUUACAAUGGUAAGGACAAAGGGCAGCUACCUGGCGACAGGAUGCGAAUCUCUAAACCUUAUCACAGUUCGGAUCGGAGUCUGCAACUCGACUCCGUGAAGCUGGAUUCGCUAGUAAUCGCGCAUCAGCCAUGGCGCGGUGAAUACGUUCCCGGGCCUUGUACACACCGCCCGUCAAGCCAUGGGAGUCUGGAGUACCUAAAGUCCGUAACCGCAAGGGUCGGCCUAGGGUAAUACAGGUGACUGGGGCUAAGUCGUAACAAGGUAGCCGUACCGGAAGGUGCGGCUG
rnacentral:rRNA from 1 species